AAAUGGGUGGUCUGAGGCAA
rnacentral:miRNA from 1 species